AUUGAACGCUGGCGGUAGGCUUAACACAUGCAAGUCGAGCGAGCGGCGGACGGGUGAGUAAUGUCUGGGAAACUGCCUGAUGGAGGGGGAUAACUACUGGAAACGGUAGCUAAUACCGCAUACCAUCAGAUGUGCCCAGAUGGGAUUAGCUAGUAGGUGGGGUAAUGGCUCACCUAGGCGACGAUCCCUAGCUGGUCUGAGAGGAUGACCAGCCCCCCUGGAACUCAGGCACGGUCCAGACUCAUACGGGGGGUCGCAGUGGGGAAUAUUGCACCAUGGGCGCAAGCCUGAUGCAGCCAUGCCGCGUGUGUGAAGAAGGCCUUCGGGUUGUAAAGCACUUUCAGCGAGGAGGCGUUACUCGAAGAAGAAGCACCGGCUAACUUCGUGCCAGCAGCCGCGGUAAUUC
rnacentral:rRNA from 1 species